rnacentral:rRNA from 1 species
UGGGGAAUAUUGGACAAUGGGCGAAAGCCUGAUCCAGCAAUGCCGCGUGAGUGAUGAAGGCCUUAGGGUUGUAAAGCUCUUUUUACCAGGGAUGAUAAUGACAGUACCUGGAGAAUAAGCUCCGGCUAACUCCGUGCCAGCAGCCGCGGUAAUACGGAGGGAGCUAGCGUUGUUCGGAAUUACUGGGCGUAAAGCGUACGUAGGCGGUGACUCAAGUCAGAGGUGAAAGCCUGGAGCCCAACUCCAGAACUGCCUUUGAAACUAGGUCGCUAGAAUCACGGAGAGGUGAGUGGAAUUCCGAGUGUAGAGGUGAAAUUCGUAGAUAUUCGGAAGAACACCAGUGGCGAAGGCGGCUCACUGGACGUGUAUUGACGCUGAGGUACGAAAGCGUGGGGAGCAAACAGGAUUAGAUACCCACGUAGUCCCUGAGCGGGCUGGCAAGGCGCAU